UGAGCCUAUGGUGCAUUAUGUGCAAACCAUGCACCAAUCUUGCACCUAAACUAACACUGUCUCCAAACAGAUUGAAGCAAGAUUCCAUAUGACACACAUGAUCUAGGAGUUCUAUCGGGUGCAUCCAAAUUGAUUUAUGAGAAUAUGGUACAUUCCAUGCAAACCAUAUACCUAUCUUUCAUCAAGAUUAACAUUAUCUCCA
rnacentral:lncRNA from 1 species